rnacentral:rRNA from 1 species
AACGUAGGAGACAAACGUUAUCCGGAGUUACUGGGCGUAAAGGGCGUGUAGGCGGUUUGCUAAGACAGGUGUGAAAUCCCCGGGCUUAACCUGGGAACUGCGCUUGUAACUGGCAAGCUAGAGUGUGGCAGAGGGGGGUGGAAUUCCAGGUGUAGCAGUGAAAUGCGUAGAGAUCUGGAGGAACACCGGUGGCGAAGGCAGCCCCCUGGGCUAACACUGACGCUCAUGCACGAAAGCGUGGGGAGCAAACAGG